CGAACGGGUGAGUAAUGCGUGACCGACCUGCCCCAUACACCGGAAUAGUUCCUGGAAACGGGUGGUAAUGCCGGAUGCUCCAGUUGGAUGCAUGUCCUUCUGGGAAAGAUUCUAUCGGUAUGGGAUGGGGUCGCGUCCUAUCAGCUUGAUGGCGGGGUAACGGCCCACCAUGGCUUCGACGGGUAGCCGGCCUGAGAGGGCGACCGGCCACAUUGGGACUGAGAUACGGCCCAGACUCCUACGGGAGGCAGCAUG
rnacentral:rRNA from 1 species